AUUGAACGCUGGCGGCAUGCCUUACACAUGCAAGUCGAACGGCAGCGGACCUUCGGGUGCCGGCGAGUGGCGAACGGGUGAGUAAUAUAUCGGAACGUACCUUUCAGUGGGGGAUAACGUAGCGAAAGUUACGCUAAUACCGCAUAUUCUGUGAGCAGGAAAGCAGGGGAUCGCAAGACCUUGCGCUGAAUUGAGCGGCCGAUAUCAGAUUAGCUAGUUGGUGAGGUAAAGGCUCACCAAGGCGACGAUCUGUAGCGGGUCGUGAGAGGAUGAUCCGCCACACUGGAACUGAGACACGGUCCAGACUCCUACGGGAGGCAGCAGUGGGGAAUUUUGGACAAUGGGCGCAAGCCUGAUCCAGCCAUUGCCGCGUGAGUGAA
rnacentral:rRNA from 1 species